GGAUAUUUAAGUUGAAUGCCAAACCUAAUAUCAAUAGUAUAGUCAAUCUCCCACGAUAAAAUGAAAAUAAAAUACUGUGUAGUUUGUAAGACACUUAAAAUUCUUUAACAUGUGAAUAGUCCUAAAAGCAGAAAGUAGGGAGAAGACAGCAUACAACAAUUCAGGGGAGAAGCUAAAUGGAUUAUAUGACCAUGACACUAAAGUUUCAAGAAACCAAGUUACCUACGUUUGAAUUAGGUGCUCCAAAU
rnacentral:misc_RNA from 1 species